rnacentral:lncRNA from 1 species
AACCCAUUUUGUUCCUAUUCUAUCCCUUCUGGGGAAAGCAUGCCACAGAGCCCCUCAGCACUGGGGUAGGAAGUGAGCUGUUCACUUCAUCCCUGCCUAGAAAUGGGAAGGAACUGGGUGCUCAUGAGAGAGCAGCCCGGCUGGUGAGAACAGCUCCCCUCCCCAUCCUCAGGCUGUUCUCCUGGCCCCUGCCUGAUCCUGGGAGGAGACUGAGAACAAGGUCCUUCCCACAGCCCUCUGGAGGGAGGGAUCUGGAUCCAUUCAUCAGAGCAUCCUCUUAUAGUCUACUGGCUUUCAAGCCCCCACCCUUCUCCUGACCUGGCUUUCUAGUUGCUUGAACUGUGUCAAAGAAUCAAGGAGGGUGGGGGGAGGGCAAGAUGGCUUAACAGUUAAAGCUUGGUAACCCGAGCUUAAUUCCCAGAAUCCAUGUGGUAGAAAGAGAAAAC